rnacentral:rRNA from 1 species
UACGUAGGGUGCAAGCGUUGUCCGGAAUCAUUGGGCGUAAAGCGCGUGUAGGCGGCCCGGUAAGUCCGCUGUGAAAGUCGAGGGCUCAACCCUCGAAUGCCGGUGGAUACUGUCGGGCUAGAGUACGGAAGAGGCGAGUGGAAUUCCUGGUGUAGCGGUGAAAUGCGCAGAUAUCAGGAGGAACACCCAUUGCGAAGGCAGCUCGCUGGAACGGUACUGACGCUGAGACGCGAAAGCGUGGGGAGCGAACAGG